rnacentral:lncRNA from 1 species
AAAGUUCCAUACAUUGAAAUAUGAAAUUUGGGAGAGUCGAUGUGGUUAUUUGAACCUAUAAGGCACAAGGUUCCAAACCGUCAUUUUGAAAAGACGUUAAAAAAAAAAAAGACAUAAAAACCACAGGUGCAAGUUUAAGAACGUGCGCAAUUAUUAUAACAGGAAAGGAGCAUAUAACAGAUAGAUUUUUCCCACCUGCAAUGAAAGUGCAGGCCCUGUAAAAUCUAUAAAAUUACAUUAUGUUCUGGAAGCCUCUGAAGGAAGAGGACGGCG